rnacentral:lncRNA from 1 species
UUCCAUUGUAUCUUGGAAGUUACUAACUUGUUUUUUAUUUUACAGGCUCAUAGGCGGAAGGGGCUUGCCUUGUCUCAGAUGAGACUUUGGACUUAGACUUUUGAGUUAAUGCUGGAAUGAGUUAAGACUUUGGGGGACUGUUGGGAAGGCAUGCUUGGCUUUGAAAUGUGAUGACAUGAGAUUUUGGAGGGGCCAGGGGUGGAAUGAUAUGGUUUGGCUCUGUCCUCACCCAAAUCUCAUUUCGAAUUGUAAUCCCCACAUGUGGGGGGAGGGGCCUGGUGGCAGGUGAUUGAAUCAUUGGGGUGGAGUUCCCGCUUGCUAUUCUUGUGAGAGUGAGUUCUCACAAGAUCUGGUUGUUCAAAAGUGUGUGGCACUUCCCUCUUCACUCUCGCUCUUUCCUGCUCCACCACGGUAAGACAUGCUUGAUUCCCCUAACCCCUCCACCACAAUUGUAAGUUACCAGCCAUGCUUCCUGUUAAGCCUGUGGAAAUGUGAGGAAAUUAAACCUCUUUUCUUCAUAAAUUACUCAGUCUCAGGUAGUUCUUUAUAGUUAAAAUGGAUUAAUAUAUCAUGUGUUGAUGAAGUUCCUGUUAUUCCCUCCUUACCCUCCUACGUGGAUUAUCUAAAGAUAUUUAUUUCACUCCCACAAAAAUGUUUUGUUCUCACCCAUUCCCGAGAGCUGAAAGUAGGCUGUGGGAACUUUGAGUGAGAAAAUAAGAGCAGCCUACUCCCCCUGACCAUAUUCCUGCCUGAUGGCCAGUAUUUGGGUGACACUUCACCCUGCCACCAAUUUUUUGAGUCCUAUUUCCCACAGACUCUGUGUUAGUCCAUUCUUGUGCUGCUAUAAAGAAAUACCUGAGACUAGGUAAUUUAUAAAGAAAACAGGCUUUGAUUUGGCUCACGUUUCUGCAGGCUGUACAGGAAGCAUGGUGCCAGCAUCAGCUUCUUGUGAAGGCCUCAGGAAGCUUUCAAUCAUGGCACAAAGUGAAGGGGAGCCAGCACAUCACAUGGUGAAGAGAGGGCGCAAAAGAGAGAAGGGGGAGGUCUCAGAUUCUUUUAAACAACCAGUUCUCAUGUGAACUAACUGGGAGAGAACAUCACCAAGAAAUGGUGCUAAGCCAUUUGUGAAGGAUCCACCCCCAUGAUCAAAUCACCUCCCACCAGGUCUCACCUCUAACAGUGACGGUUACAUUUCAACAUGAGAUUUGAAGAGGACAAACACCCCAAACAUAACAGACUCACUUGUGACUUUGCCCUGUAAACUUUCAGGGAAAAUGAGGUCACUUCUGACCCAGAGACUCUGUCAUCUUACCCUCUCCUGGGGGUCUUCAUCUAAAGAACUGCCACUGGGAUCAUACAGUGUGCUCUCAUCUGGAACUUCCCACAUCUCCACGUGCCCUCACCUUCAGUGAGAGUCUGAGAAGAAGCCGGGUGGGGUUGCUGCCCACAUGGUCGGGGCUGCUGCCAAUGCCACUCAUCUCACCGUCACUUGCUGCCUCUCUGCCUGCCCCCUGGUCCAUGGUUCUCUGACAUCUCUCUCUCCUUGAGGACUGUCCACUGAGAGGUCUGGAAACAAUGACACUCCAGGAACAAUGACACUCCAGAAACAAUGACACUCCAGGAACAAUGACACUCCAGAAACAAUGACACUCCAGGAACAAUGAGCACAUCUAGCACCCAGAUCUUGGCUUCUACACAUCAUUCUCUAUUAAAAGAAAGAAGCAUCCCUUGGAGCAAUGGCUGAUUCCAGAGCUGUGGCAGAGAAAUUACAAGAUA